CGCUCUAGCCGGUCAGGGUCCCCCGUCGCGUUUCACCUUCCUUCGUAACAGUACAUUUCACCCUCUGAUCCAUCGGCAGACGGGUGCCACCGUGGCAACCUGCCCUGUAUUGGGAUAACUCCGGGAAACCGGGGCUAAUACCGAAUAAUCCUUCGGACCUCAUGGUCCGAUGUUGAAAGCCUUCGCUGUCACUACAGGAUGGCCCCCCCAUUACUAUUGUGAAGUAACGCUCACAAGCCCAUGCUACCACCGAAGUGAUCGGCACAUGCCUGAACAGGCCCAACUCCUACGGCAUUGAAUCUUCCCGGACAACCUUCAACCGGGGGGUGAGAUUC
rnacentral:rRNA from 1 species